CUAACCAAAAAUCUAGAUCUUCUCCUUCAAUGGAGAAAACCCAGAUUUGAGCAUCGAAGGAGAAGACGAUCUGUGGUUCUUCCCCUUCAAUGGAGGAACCCAGAUUUGGGUCUUCCCCAUUGAAGAAGAAAACCAGCUCUGUUUUCUCCAUUUGGGUCUUCUACAUUGAAGGAGAAGACGAUCUGUGGUUCUUCCCCUUCAAUGGAGGAACCUAGAUUUGGGUCUUCUCCAUUAAAGGAGAAAACCCAGAUCGGUCUUCUCCUUCAAUGGAGAAGACAGAGCUGGUCUUCUUCUUCAAUGGGGAAGACCCAAUUUCUGAGUUUCUCCAUUGAAGGAGAAGACCCACAGCUACUUCUCCUUCAAUGGAGAAAUCCAGUUGUGGUCUUCUCCAUUGAAGGAGAAGACCAGAGCAUGUCAUCUCCUUCAAUGGAGAAGACCAAAUCUGCUGGUCUUCUCCUUCAAUGGAGAAGACCAGUGCAAGUCUUCUCCUUUAAUGGAGAAGACACAGAUUUGUCUUCUCCAAUUUUUUUUUUAAAUAAUUUUAUUUUAAAAGAAUUAAUUAUUCUAUAACAAUUUAAUUUUGGUUUAAUUAUUAUGUGGUUUGAUUUUUUUUUUGAUUCGGUUUGGUUUAAAUGUGCCACAUAUGAUUUUAGUUUAAUGUUGACGAUGACAUGGCUGCCUUGUUGUCAAUAAAAUCCGGUUCGAUUUUCUAGUGGCUAUAAAAGAAGCAGAGAUAGUCAAAAAUGGCUAUAUGUGCCGAUUUUUAAACGUUUGGCUAAAACUGAUAUCUCGCGUAUACGUUUGGCAUUUUAUUGUGAUUAAGCGGAUUAAAUUUGAGGUGGAGUAGAGGCCGAAAAACUCCCUGGAUUGCUGGAACUGGCAGAUUCCCAGCUUGGUAUGAUCCAUCCAUGCACAUUCGGUGUUUGAGAAAAAUUCGACGACCUUCCAGGAAUAGCAGAUUCUCCGUUAUAAAUAUACUUCGCCAGAGUAAUUGUGUUUCCCCAAACUGUACUCUUUUCGCUUGGAGUCGCACUGCCUUGUAUGAUCUUUCGAUAGUGACAAUAUUUUUUCAGUGAGCGAAUCAGAAAGAGUAGGAGACAAAUUGUAGAAGUGGCACCGGAUAUCAGGUCUUUUAGCGUUCCGUUCUCUGAUAGCUUCAAUAUGGCUUUUGAAACAUCAGCUCGUAAUGGAGAGCCUCUCUGAAAUACCUGAAAUGGUUAAUUGCAAACAAAUUCAUAAACAA